rfam:Laccaria amethystina LaAM-08-1 unplaced genomic scaffold K443scaffold_33, whole genome shotgun sequence.
GCCCGCCUAGCUCAAUCGGAUAGAGCGUCAGACUCUUAUGCAGGGCUGCAAUGCAGCAAAGUUGAUCUGAAGGCUGCGAGUUUGACCCUCGCGGUGGGCU